rnacentral:rRNA from 1 species
AUUGAACGCUAGCGGCAGGCCUAACACAUGCAAGUCGAACGAGUGGCGGACGGGUGAGUAAUGUCUGGGAAACUGCCUGAUGGAGGGGGAUAACUACUGGAAACGGUAGCUAAUACCGCAUACCAUCAGAUGUGCCCAGAUGGGAUUAGCUAGUUGGUGGGGUAAAGGCUCACCAAGGCGACGAUCCCUAGCUGGUCUGAGAGGAUGACCAGCCACACUGGAACUGAGACACGGCCCAGACUCCUACGGGAGGCAGCAGUGGGGAAUAUUGCACAAUGGGCGCAAGCCUGAUGCAGCCAUGCCGCGUGUAUGAAGAAGGCCUUCGGGUUGUAAAGUACUUUCGGCGGGGAGGCGGUAUCUGCAGAAGAAGCACCGGCUAACUCCGUGCCAGCAGCCGCGGUAAUUC